UAGGGAAUCUUCCGCAAUGGACGCAAGUCUGACGGAGCAACGCCGCGUGAGUGAAGAAGGAUUUCGGUUCGUAAAACUCUGUUGUUAGAGAAGAACAGCGCAUAGAGUAACUGUUAUGCGUGUGACGGUAUCUAACCAGAAAGCCACGGCUAACUACGUGCCAGCAGCCGCGGUAAUACGUAGGUGGCAAGCGUUGUCCGGAUUUAUUGGGCGUAAAGCGAGCGCAGGCGGUCAAUUAAGUCUGAUGUGAAAGCCCCCGGCUCAACCGGGGAGGGUCAUUUGGAACUGGUUGACUUGAGUGCAGAAGAGGAGAGUGGAAUUCCAUGUGUAGCGGUGAAAUGCGUAGAUAUAUGGAGGAACACCAGUGGCGAAGGCGACUCUCUGGUCUGUAUCUGACGCUGAGGCUCGAAAGCGUGGGUAGCAAACAGG
rnacentral:rRNA from 1 species